rnacentral:rRNA from 1 species
UACGUAGGGUGCAGGCGUUUAAUCGGAAUUACUGGGCGUAAAGCGUGCGCAGGCGGCUCCUUAAGUCAGAUGUGAAAUCCCCGGGCUUAACCUGGGAACUGCGUUUGAAACUGAGGAGCUCGAGUGUGGAAGAGGGGGGGUGGAAUUCCAGGUGUAGCAGUGAAAUGCGUAGAGAUCUGGAGGAACACCGAUGGCGAAGGCAGCCCCCUGGGCUAACACUGACGCUCAUGCACGAAAGCGUGGGGAGCAAACAGG